AUUGAACGCUGGCGGCAGGCCUAACACAUGCAAGUCGAGCGGAUGAAGGGAGCUUGCUCCUGGAUUCAGCGGCGGACGGGUGAGUAAUGCCUAGGAAUCUGCCUGGUAGUGGGGGAUAACGUCCGGAAACGGGCGCUAAUACCGCACACGUCCUGAGGGAGAAAGUGGGGGAUCUUCGGACCUCACGCUAUCAGAUGAGCCUAGGUCGGAUUAGCUAGUUGGUGGGGUAAAGGCCUACCAAGGCGACGAUCCGUAACUGGUCUGAGAGGAUGAUCAGUCACACUGGAACUGAGACAGGGUCCAGACUCCUACGGGAGGCAGCAGUGGGGAAUAUUGGACAAUGGGCGAAAGCCUGAUCCAGCCAUGCCGCGUGUGUGAAGAAGGUCUUCGGAUUGUAAAGCACUUUAAGUUGGGAGGAAGGGCAGUAAGUUAAUACCUUGCUGUUUUGACGUUACCAACAGAAUAAGCACCGGCUAACUUCGUG
rnacentral:rRNA from 1 species